AUAAUAAUUUGUCUUUUAAUUGAAGGCUUGAAUGAAGGAUUGAAUGAGGUAUUAACUGUCUCAUUAAAAAUAAAUUUUUAAUUUAAUUUUUAAGUUAAAAAGCUUAAAUUUUAUUAUAGGACGAGAAGACCCUAUAGAAUUUAAUAAUUUUAUUUUAUAAAAAUUAUAAAAUUAAUUUUUUAUAAAGUAAAUUAUUUUAUUGGGGCGAUAAGAAAAUUUGAUAAACUUUUAUAAAUAAAAUUUUACAUUAAUUAAUGAAUUUUUGAUCCUAAUUUUUAGAUUAUUAGAAUAAAUUACCUUAGGGAUAACAGCGUUAUUUUUUUUAAAAGUUCAUAUUUAUAAAGAAGAUUGC
rnacentral:rRNA from 1 species